rnacentral:lncRNA from 1 species
CAAGAAAUGCACAAAAUAUUCAAAAAGAAGGCCUAGAAAAUUUAAAUAUUGGUAUGCACACAUACUCCCCUAUCAGCACAGACAAUUAUAUUUUUGUAAAGGAGCCAAACUCGUUUCAAAUAUUUAUAAUAGAACCGAAAAGAAAAUGGAAAUGGGGAAUGUAUCAAAGAGAUAACAACAUGACCAAAGAGCAGAUAACAGCCAUAGGUCACCGAUGGGUCUUCAUUGCAACGAGAAAAUCCCGCAACCUGAGACUGGGGUGGAUCUAGUCAUAUAAAGGAGGGGUUCCUAACCCAGGACAAUUUUUUUUUUUUGGGGGGGGGGGUGUCCAACUACAUGUCCCCAUUCAAAUGCAUUGAUCGUCCAAUAAAGAAAGGGGGUUCCAACAUGUCCAACCUUCAGCCCCCCCCCCCCUGGAUCCGUG